rnacentral:tRNA from 5 species
GUCCCUGUAGCUCAGUGGAUAGAGCGCUUCCCUCCGAAGGAAGAGGCCGCAGGUUCAAAUCCUGCCAGGGACA